rnacentral:rRNA from 1 species
AAUAGAUACCCUGGUAGUCCACGCCGUAAACGACUGAGUGCUAAGUGUUAGAGGGUUUCCGCCCUUUAGUGCGUGCAGCUAACGCAUUAAGCACUCCGCCUGGGGAGUACGGCCGCAAGGCUGAAACUCAAAGGAAUUGACGGGGGCCCGCACAAGCGGUGGAGCAUGUGGUUUAAUUCGAAGCAACGCGAAGAACCUUACCAGGUCUUGACAUCCUCUGACACUCCUAGAGAUAGGACGUUCCCCUUCGGGGGACAGAGUGACAGGUGGUGCAUGGUUGUCGUCAGCUCGUGUCGUGAGAUGUUGGGUUAAGUCCCGCAACGAGCGCAACCCUUGAUCUUAGUUGCCAGCAUUCAGUUGGGCACUCUAAGGUGACUGCCGGUGACAAACCGGAGGAAGGUGGGGAUGACGUCAAAUCAUCAUGCCCCUUAUGACCUGGGCUACACACGUGCUACAAUGGAUGGUACAAAGGGCUGCAAGACCGCGAGGUUUAGCCAAUCCCAUAAAACCAUUCUCAGUUCGGAUUGUAGG